rnacentral:rRNA from 1 species
AACUCCCAACCCCUGUGACAUACCACUUGUUGCCUCGGCGGAUCAGCCCGCUCCCGGUAAAACGGGACGGCCCGCCAGAGGACCACUAAACUCUGUUUCUAUAUGUAACUUCUGAGUAAAACCAUAAAUAAAUCAAAACUUUCAACAACGGAUCUCUUGGUUCUGGCAUCGAUGAAGAACGCAGCAAAAUGCGAUAAGUAAUGUGAAUUGCAGAAUUCAGUGAAUCAUCGAAUCUUUGAACGCACAUUGCGCCCGCCAGUAUUCUGGCGGGCAUGCCUGUUCGAGCGUCAUUUCAACCCUCAAGCACAGCUUGGUGUUGGGACUCGCGUUAAUUCGCGUUCCCCAAAUUGAUUGGCGGUCACGUCGAGCUUCCAUAGCGUAGUAGUAAAACCCUCGUUACUGGUAAUCGUCGCGGCCACGCCGUUAAACCCCAACUUCUGAAUGUUGACCUCGGAUCAGGUAGGAAUACCCGCUGAACUUAAGCAUAUCAAUAAGCGGAGGGAAAAGAAA